GAUGAACGCUAGCUACAGGCUUAACACAUGCAAGUCGAGGGGAAACGACAUCGAAAGCUUGCUUUUGAUGGGCGUCGACCGGCGCACGGGUGAGUAACGCGUAUCCAACCUGCCCACCACUUGGGGAUAACCUUGCGAAAGUAAGACUAAUACCCAAUGAUAUCCCACGAAGGCAUCCGAAUGGGAUUAAAGAUUUAUCGGUGAUGGAUGGGGAUGCGUCUGAUUAGCUUGUUGGCGGGGUAACGGCCCACCAAGGCAACGAUCAGUAGGGGUUCUGAGAGGAAGGUCCCCCCACAUUGGAACUGAGACACGGUCCAAACUCCUACGGGAGGCAGCAGUGAGGAAUAUUGGUCAAUGGGCGAGAGCCUGAACCAGCCAAGUAGCGUGCAGGAUGACGGCCCUAUGGGUUGUAAACUGCUUUUAUAAGGGAUAAAGUGGGUCUCGUGAGACUUUUUGCAUGUACCUUAUGAAUAAGGACCGGCUAAUUCCGUG
rnacentral:rRNA from 1 species